GAUAAUCAAGCUUUAAUAGCAUUUCACUUACACUGAAAAUAAUCUUUAUAUAAUUUUAU
rnacentral:tRNA from 1 species